CCCCACCCCCAAACUAACCUGAGUCCAGCCCCUCUGGGGAAAAAAGGGGUACAUGAACUCCCCUACUCCACAGGCGCCUCCCUGUGGCCCGAGGCCUGCACUACCCUCCAGCUUGCAGCCCUCACACGAGCCAUUUUGCAUAAAAUACAAGUGAAAAGUUCUGAACGUAACACGCUCCAGGUUAUGUACAGGGGCUCGGUGGAGGGAGACUCUGCGCCUGCUUCCCCUCAGCUGCCCCCCAUCACAGGGAGGGAGCUGUGGUGGGAGGGAGAUAGACAAGAGGAGCAGGCCUCAUUCCGCCCCAAACUGGAAAGGACGAAAUGGCUUUACUGGGGAGCAGGUAACCAACCUGCCUCCCCCCAUUCCUGCCACCUACAUACUGUCCGUGUCCUGAGGGGGUACUGUGAGUCUGGGAUCUUCUAGGGGCCCCUCCCCUGCCUGGGGCAGCUGUGGAGGGGCCAGGGGGGGGCGGUGAGGGUUGGGGGGGCCCCUCCCAGCCAGGCUGUCCAGACCCCGGCUCUGAGGGCGGAGGCAGUGGCGGGGCAGCCGGGGCUGUGCCAGAGUCCGAGCCAGGUGAAGUGGGGUCGGGGCCCCCAGCAGGGCUAGGAGUGGGGCCAGGGGCAGCAGCAGUGCCAGUGGGAGGCGGUCCGGGGAGGGGGGCCUCGGCUCCGGAGGGCUGUUCUGUGGGAGUGGCCGCCUGCAUGAUCUUUUGGCGCACUUCACGGAUCUUCAGCUGCAGACAGACCUUGGAGGGGAAGAUGUCUGCGUAGCGGGCCUGGAAGGCUGCUGUGGCCUGAGCUGUGGACAGAACGGAGGUGGGGGCGCGGGAGGGCAGGAUGAGAUGAGUGGGGAGGCCCCGUCCAAGAGCCCUCCAAGACUCCAAGACCUGCUCACCUGAUGGGAAGAAGCCAUGGUCCUGGAAGAGCUGCAUGACCAGGGCCCGGCGCUGGUCCAGGGUGCGCCGCAGUGACGAGUAUGGCACCUUCUCAUAUUCCAGCUCCCCGAGCACGUCCUCAGCUUCGCACCUGUACGGUCAAAGGUGAAGAUGUCCCCCUCGCACUUGGCACUCUUGGGGGUGUUGGGCUCCGAGCUGCAGCUGGAGCGU
rnacentral:lncRNA from 1 species